CCUACGGGGCGCAGCAGUGGGGAAUAUUGGGCAAUGGGCGAAAGCCUGACCCAGCAAUGCCGCGUGAAUGAAGAAGGUCUUAGGAUUGUAAAAUUCUGUCCUAUGGGAAGAAAAAAAUGACGGUACCAUAGGAGGAAGCCCCGGCUAACUACGUGCCAGCAGCCGCGGUAAUACGUAGGGGGCGAGCGUUGUCCGGAAUUACUGGGCGUAAAGAGAGCGUAGGCGGCACUACAAGUCUCAUGUGAAAUACCCGGGCUUAACUUGGGGGUUGCAUGGGAAACUGUAGAGCUUGAGUACAGGAGAGGCAAGCGGAAUUCCUAGUGUAGCGGUGAAAUGCAUAGAUAUCACACAGAACACCGAUUGCGAAGGCAUCUCACGAAUCCGCGAUUGACGCUGAUGCACGAAAGCGUGGGUAUCAAACAGGAUUAGAACCCUGGUAGUC
rnacentral:rRNA from 1 species